UUUUAGCCUUAUCGGUGGAUCACUCGGCUCGUAGGUCGAUGAAGAACGCAGCCAACUGCGAUAAGUAGUGUGAACUGCAGAAACCUUGAACACAGAACAUUCGAAUGC
rnacentral:rRNA from 1 species